UGUUGAUCACAAGACGCAGAUACACAAUCAAACGCUGAAAUACGAAACGCUGUUUUUUUACGGGUCAUUCGAAGAUGAAAAUAUUGGUUUGUGAAAGCAUAUAAUAUCGAUAUUAAUUGUUUUGCAAUAACAACGGUAUUCAUUAAUUUUCACAACAACAGUGAAUGACACCGUCUUAGAUUGUGCUGAGUGCCUAAAUAGCUAGUUUGCGCGACCGACUGACCGAGCGAUUUACAGCUCACCUAAAACGUUAACAUGACUAGGUUAUCAUAGGCAAUGCGCUGUGUGUUUGUUGGCCGUGCAACAUUGUGAUAUAUCCUCUUGCAAGGACUAUUGCUCGGGGCGAAACAAUGUUGCAUAAAUUAAAACAAGGAAGCUAAGGCGUGAUUUCUGGAGUUUCAGGAGUUCCACGUGCGAUAUUCUUUGGACAGAUUCUCUACAGAGAACCCUGCUUUCCACGGCGGUGAUGGGACGAAUAUUUCCCUCACCAUUCUUGAAGCAGGAAGAAAAAAUAUUGUGUAGCAUCAAGCAUCGCGGGUGUCACGAGAGAGAUUUCAUAACCUGUGCUGUAAAAUCAGGGAUGCCUUUAACGUAGUCAGUGUGCUUGAAGCCGGUAUGAAGAAUAUUGGACACAAGGCAUUCUGGGAAUUUCCAGUUUACGGUAAAAGAUUUAGGAGGUACUAUCCCGCUUGCAACCUGUAGAACACCUGGGUAACACUUAAGGCAAUAUGUGUAACGCUUUAUACAGCAUUAUACGCCACUUAAUUUUAUAGUGGUGUAUUAUGUUUGUGUGAUUAGACAUUUCGUCACUACCUAAAAUAAUCAAAGAUUACCUAGUAGUGGCUUAUAAGUAUAGACCCUUUUGUGUUAGUAAACAGCGCUGACGUAUUUUAAUGAGCUUACCCGAACUGGUUGCAGAAAGUGUCAGUAACCUCUUUACAACAUAUGUGAAUAUGGAUCAUCCUGAGACCUCCACUUAUUUUGUGCAGUAAAUGUCAUUUACUUAUAAUGUAUCCAAUUAAUUCAUUGAAUGCUUGCAUUAAUUCAGAUUGAUCUAAGCUAAACUAAGUAUGAGCAAUUUGGUUUGUUUGCAUGCUAAUUCUGCUUACACGCUUGCUAAGGUUGCUUACGUUGGUCAAUUGUGUUUACCAUUACGAAAUAGCCUACUGUGAAUGCCAGGUUUGUGCUUCUGUUACCAAUUUAUCCUUAUUAUUAUAACUUCAUCAUUGAUUUUGCCUGUGUGAUAAACUGUGGACAAAACCUUGCCUGAUAUGAAAUGAGCACUACAGGGACAAACUGAUUUCAUCAGUCCAGUCUGUCUAAUGGCUUGCAACCAUAAACGUCUUCAACUUUUUUUGCAUUCCUAUUCUGACAUCCAAUGGCACAAGAAGAAAUGUUUUCCCUUUAGUUUGAGGAUCUUGCCCGUUUCCCUACACUUGUUCCCGUAGUUUUCUGCCACCACCAAACUUCAGUGACGUAACCGUGACGUCCACUCCAAAUUGGUCUGUGCCCGGGCUAUUCAAAUCCGGUUCUGAAGGGCUGAAAACACUUCUGGAUUUGGCUCUAACUGCUAGUUGAUUGCCUUAACCUGGCAUCUCAGGUCUGAAGCAGUCCUGUAUUAUUAGUAGAGGAUAAAGCCAGAAAUGUUUCAGCUCUCCGGGACCCGAAUUGAAUACCCCUGGUGUAUGCUAUGUGAUGCACACUAUUAGUGAUUUGCUGCUCAUUGACCCCAUCUUUUAGAUGAAUCACAGUGUUGUCAAUUAUAAUGCUGUAUUGUCCUUAAGGAAAGACUUCCUGGUAAUUGUGAAGCACUACGUUUCUGUACAUUAUAAGUUAUUAUAAUUAAACAUAUAAUGCAUUAUGUAUUUGUGUACAACAUCACAAGUCUUCAUGAGCCUUUGCGUGUCUAAACCUAUGCUUAUACUGUGUUAUUACUGUAUUAUGUUGCAUCAUGAGUACAUGUAUAAUGUGUUCCACGAAUGGCAAUUAAAUAGUGUUACCAA